rnacentral:rRNA from 1 species
GUUGGUGGGGUAAUGGCCCACCAAGCCGAUGAUCGGUACGGGUUGUGAGAGCAGGGGCCCGGAGAUGGAACCUGAGACAAGGUUCCAGACCCUACGGGGUGCAGCAGGCGCGAAACCUCCGCAAUGUACGAAAGUGCGACGGGGGGAUCCCAAGUGUUAUGCUUUUUUGUAUGACUUUUCAUUAGUGUAAAAAGCUUUUAGAAUAAGAGCUGGGCAAGACCGGUGCCAGCCGCCGCGGCAACACCGGCAGCUCGAGUGGUAGCUGUUUUUAUUGGGCCUAAAGCGUUCGUAGCCGGUUUGAUAAGUCUUUGGUGAAAGCUUGUAGCUUAACUAUAAGAAUUGCUGGAGAUACUAUUAGACUUGAAGUCGGGAGAGGUUAGAGGUACUACCGGGGUAGGGGUGAAAUCCUAUAAUCCUGGGAGGACCACCUGUGGCGAAGGCGUCUAACUGGAACGAUCUUGACGGUGAGUAACGAAAGCCAGGGGCGCGAACCGGAUUAGAUACCCGGGUAGUCCUGGCCGUAAACGAUGUGGACUUGGUGUUGGAAUGGCUUUGAGUUGUUCCGGUGCCGAGGGGAAGCUGUUAAGUCCACCGCCUGGGAAG